rnacentral:rRNA from 1 species
UGAUACGGAGGUGGCGAGCGUUGCUCGGAUUCACUGGGUGUAAAGGGCAAGUAGGCGGCUCUGUAAGUGGGGUGUGAAAUCCCACGGCUCAACCGUGGAACUGCGCUCCAAACCGCAGAGCUUGAGGACGAGAGAGGCGAGUGGAAUUCCCGGUGUAAGGGUGAAAUCUGUAGAGAUCGGGAGGAACACCAGUGGCGAAGGCGACUCGCUGGCUCGUCCCUGACGCUGAGAGGCGAAAGCUAGGGGAGCAAACAGGAUUAGAUACCCUGGUAGUCCUAGCCGUAAACUAUGGUGACUAGGUGUUGGCUCACAUCUGUGGGUCAGUGCCGUAGGUAACCUGUUAAGUCACCCACCUGGGGAGUACGGCCGCAAGGCUG